rnacentral:rRNA from 1 species
UCAGGAUGAACGCUAGCGACAGGCUUAACACAUGCAAGUCGAGGGGCAGCAUAAAAGUAGCAAGUACUUGGUGGCGACCGGCGCACGGGUGAGUAACGCGUAUGCAACCUACCUAUCAGAGGGGAAUAACCCGGCGAAAGUCGGACUAAUACCGCAUAAAACAGGGGCACCGCAUGGUGAUAUUUGUUAAAGAAAUUCGCUGAUAGAUGGGCAUGCGUUCCAUUAGGUAGUUGGUGAGGUAACGGCUCACCAAGCCGACGAUGGAUAGGGGAACUGAGAGGUUGGUCCCCCACACUGGUACUGAGACACGGACCAGACUCCUACGGGAGGCAGCAGUGAGGAAUAUUGGUCAAUGGGCGAGAGCCUGAACCAGCCAAGUCGCGUGAAGGAGGAAGGAUCUAUGGUUCGUAAACUUCUUUUGCAGGGGAAUAAAGUGCAGGACGUGUCCUGUUUUGUAUGUACCCUGAGAAUAAGGAUCGGCUAACUCCGUGCCAGCCGCCGC